rnacentral:rRNA from 1 species
CGCUAUCAUCCUACGGGAGGCAGCAUGGGGAAUAUUGCACAAUGGGCGCAAGCCUGAUGCAGCCAUGCCGCGUGUAUGAAGAAGGCCUUCGGAUUGUAAAGUACUUUCAGCAGUGAGGAAGGCGGGUACGUUAAUAGCGUGCUUGUUUGACGUUAGCUGCAGAAGAAGCACCGGCUAACUCCGUGCCAGCAGCCGCGGUAAUACGGAGGGUGCGAGCGUUAAUCGGAAUUACUGGGCGUAAAGCGCAUGCAGGUGGUUUGUUAAGUCAGAUGUGAAAGCCCGGGGCUCAACCUCGGAAUUGCAUUUGAAACUGGCAGACUAGAGUACUGUAGAGGGGGGUAGAAUUUCAGGUGUAGCGGUGAAAAUGCGUAGAGAUCUGAAGGAAUACCGGUGGCGAAGGCGGCCCCCUGGACAGAUACUGACACUCAGAUGCGAAAGCGUGGGGAGCAAACAGGAUUAGAUACCCUGGUAG